rnacentral:rRNA from 1 species
CAAUAGCGUAUAUUAAAGUUGUUGCAGUUAAAAAGCUCGUAGUUGGAUUUGUGGCGGUCCCUGUGGUCCAAUUUUGGUACUCUCGGGGACUGCCAUCCUUGGGUGGAUCCUGUGUGGCAUUAGGUUGUCGUGCAGGGGAUGCCCAUCGUUUACUGUGAAAAAAUUAGAGUGUUCAAAGCAGGCUUACGCCGUUGAAUAUAUUAGCAUGGAAUAAUGAGAUAGGACCUUGGUACUAUUUUGUUGGUUUGCGCACCGAGGUAAUGAUUAAUAGGGACAGUUGUGGGUAUUCGUAUUCCAUUGUCAGAGGUGGAAUUCUUGGAUUUCUGGAAGACGAACUAAUGCGAAAGCAUUUAUCAAGGAUGUUUUCAUUAA